UCAGACGAUGCGUCAUGCAUAUCAAUAAGCGGAGGAAAAGAAACUAACAAGGAUUCCCCUAGUAACGGCGAGUGAAGCGGGAAGAGCUCAAAUUUGAAAUCUUAAAGGGUUUCCCUUUACGAAUUGUAGUUUAAAGAAGUGUUUUCUGUUGAGGUUUUGGUAAAAGUUCUUUGGAAUAGGACAUCAUAGAGGGUGAGAAUCCCGUAUUUGACCUUUACUUUCAACUUUGUGAUACACUUUCAAAGAGUCGGAUUGUUUGGGAAUGCAGUCCAAAAUGGGUGGUAAAUUUCAUCUAAAGCUAAAUAUUGGCGAGAGACCGAUAGCGAACAAGUACCGUGAGGGAAAGAUGAAAAGAACUUUGAAAAGAGAGUUAAACAGUACGUGAAAUUGUCAAAAGGGAAGCGUUUGACACCAGUGUUGUUUUUCUGAAAAUCAAUUAAAGAACUGUUUAUGCUAAGUUGUCUAGACUUUAUCAGCUAUCUGUUUAGUUUUGAGCUUUUCUUUAAUGCACUUUUCAGUUAACAAGUCAACAUCAAUUUCUUUUGCUGUAAAAAAGCUUGAGGAAGGUGGCUUGAGAUUCGUCUUAAGUGUUUAUAGCCUCUUGCCUAUGCAGUCGGAGAGAUUGAGGUCUGCAGCGUAGAUCCUUCGGGGCUAAAUGCAUUUGUGCUAAGUUAUAGCAUUUCAUAGACAACUUGUUGACUAUGAUUUGUCUUGUAGCUUACUCGCUUAUGUUAUUUUACCUACGCUUAGGAUGUUGAAUCUGUGCGAGACUAC
rnacentral:rRNA from 1 species